UACGUAGGGUGCAAGCGUUGUCCGGAAUUAUUGGGCGUAAAGAGCUCGUAGGCGGCCUGUUGCGUCCGCUGUGAAAUCCCGGGGCUUAACCCCGAGCCUGCAGUGGAUACGGGCAGACUAGAGGUAGGUAGGGGAGAAUGGAAUUCCCGGUGUAGCGGUGAAAUGCGCAGAUAUCGGGAGGAACACCGGUGGCGAAGGCGGUUCUCUGGGCCUUACCUGACACUGAGGAGCGAAAGCGUGGGGAGCGAACAGG
rnacentral:rRNA from 1 species